GGCGUCGGUGGUGCAAGGUAGGAGCACGCGCCCCUGGACUGGGUAUAAUGCGGGUUCGAGUCCCGUCUGUCGUCA